CCGUAUCCUCACGUAUCCCUGUUUGACUAUGUCGUUGAAGUUGGAAGCCAUGGUGAGGGGAAGCGGGUAGCUUCCUUCCCGAGGUAGCGAAAUGUUUUACUUGAGGGUCGGUCGGUGAGACAUCCAGCAGCAGGAGAGCGGGCGGUGGGCAACCUGCUCCUGUGUCAGCGCUCAGGCUGCCCGGCUUCAGCGGCGCAAUCUAUCCGCGAGAGGAGGGAGCUACCAUUCAGCUGAUACACUUAAGCCGGAGAGGAUAGCAAAGGAGGAGAGGGCAGAAGAGGCGCGCUUCCUGGACCACACCAUCCACGAAACUCCCUCCACUGUGACAGUCAACCACAGACAGUUGCUACAGAAGACCAGACAUGAAGCUAGUAGGGAUUCUUGCUAAAGGACUCCACAGCAAAGCAGAUACUAAAUGCCAAGGGGGUGUAAUCAAGGGUCUUGAUCUCACGGUGCCACCCUACAGCCCCUGAUCCUCAAGCUCUCUUAACACUAUGUAAUUAUACAUUCAUCAACACAUGGUGCCGUGUCUCUUUAUCUCAUCACAGCCUCUCCUCCUGAAAAAAAAAGUGGAGACAGACAAGCCUGACUAAUAUGUAUGCCCUGUAGAGGGCAAUAUUGUCUGCUGCAUUAGGGGGAGUAGUUUGAAAGGGCUGUUUAAAUGUCUUCAUGUUUCCACUGUAUGAUAAUGAGAUAUCUAUACUUGUUCGAUAAUUUAAUAGGCUGAUGAAUGAGCAACAUAUGAGUUGUGUAACAGACGCU